UACGUAGGGGGGCUAGCGUUGUCCGGAUUUAUUGGGCGUAAAGAGCGUGUAGGCGGCCAGGUAGGUCUGGUGUGAAAACUCGAGGCUUAACCUCGAGAUGUCAUCGGAAACCAUCUGGCUAGAGUCCGGAAGAGGAGAGUGGAAUUCCUGGUGUAGCGGUGAAAUGCGCAGAUAUCAGGAAGAACACCAAUGGCGAAAGCAGCUCUCUGGGACGGUACUGACGCUGAGACGCGAAAGCGUGGGGAGCGAACAGG
rnacentral:rRNA from 1 species